UGCCGCCGCCCUUCCCGGGGCGUUUCCUCCCUAGACUCAGACCGCGCUGCCCCAACAGUGCGGUUUUUUUUCGCCUGUC
rnacentral:sRNA from 1 species